UACAGAGGUCCCAAGCGUUGUUCGGAUUCAUUGGGCGUAAAGGGUGCGUAGGUGGCGCCGUAAGUCGGGUGUGAAAUUUCGGAGCUUAACUCCGAAACUGCAUUCGAUACUGCGGUGCUUGAGGACUUGAGAGGAGACUGGAAUUCAUGGUGUAGCAGUGAAAUGCGUAGAGAUCAUGAGGAAGACCAGUGGCGAAGGCGGGUCUCUGGACAGUUCCUGACACUGAGGCACGAAGGCCAGGGGAGCAAACGGG
rnacentral:rRNA from 1 species